rnacentral:rRNA from 1 species
CCUACGGGAGGCUGCAGUGGGGAAUAUUGGACAAUGGGGGGAACCCUGAUCCAGCCAUGCCGCGUGUGUGAAGAAGGCCCUCGGGUUGUAAAGCACUUUCAGUGAGGAAGAACGCCUGGUGGUUAAUACCCAUCAGGAAAGACAUCACUCACAGAAGAAGCACCGGCUAACUCCGUGCCAGCAGCCGCGGUAAUACGGAGGGUGCGAGCGUUAAUCGGAAUUACUGGGCGUAAAGCGCGCGUAGGUGGCUUGAUAAGCCGGUUGUGAAAGCCCCGGGCUCAACCUGGGAACGGCAUCCGGAACUGUCAAGCUAGAGUGCAGGAGAGGAAGGUAGAAUUCCCGGUGUAGCGGUGAAAUGCGUAGAGAUCGGGAGGAAUACCAGUGGCGAAGGCGGCCUUCUGGACUGACACUGACACUGAGGUGCGAAAGCGUGGGUAGCAAACAGGAUUAGAUACCCUAGUAGU